rnacentral:misc_RNA from 1 species
ACAGAGCAGCGCAGUUCGUUUUGUGCGCGCGUAGUGAACGGUUGUCUCUCGGUUGCUCGUCGGGGAGUUGCAAAUUUAGCGACAGCGACUACAAAUGGCGACUUGUGCCUGCCGGACCCUCGAGUUAAUUGUUAAUUGUUAAUUGCUGUGGUGCUAAGCGUUGGCCGAACGGUUUAUUCUAACCCUGGUGGCAGGAGGAAGAACAAAUUUGUGUCCAGAAGGAAGAAGAAGAAGAAAAGCACCAAAAAGAUGUGAGAGAUGUGUAAUUAAAACUAGACUUUUGACUAAAAACUAGAAGAGCGAAGGAAGGCCGCUGAGAAAACAUAACGAGAAUAAAGCAAAAUACAAGAAAUACAAAUUCCAAAAGGCAACAACAAAUGUUCAAAUCUGCGGCGUCGUCGCUGCGUCGACGUCGUCCAAAAACAACAAUAACAGCAAAAGCAACAACAGCCAUCGAGAUGCCGUCGCAGCCGCAGUUGGCGUCGCUGCUUGCAGUGUUGCUUUUGCUCUGCUACUGCGACAGCUGCUUUUUUUGUUACGCGGAUGCCAAUCUACAGCAGCAGAACUCCAUCGUCCAGCAGCAGCAGCUCCAAGCCCCACGAUUCACCACGCAUCCAUCGUCAUCGGGGUCGAUUGUCAGCGAGGGCAGCACCAAGAUACUACAGUGUCAUGCGCUGGGAUACCCGCAGCCCACAUACCGAUGGCUGAAGGACGGCGUCCCCGUCGGCGACUUCUCAUCCAGUCAGUUCUACCGAUUCCACAGCACGCGGCGCGAGGAUGCGGGCAGCUAUCAGUGCAUCGCCAGGAACGAUGCCGGAUCCAUAUUCAGCGAAAAGAGCGACGUUGUCGUGGCCUACAUGGGCAUCUUUGAGAACACGACAGAAGGUCGUCUGACAGUGGUCAGUGGUCACCCCGCGAUAUUCGACAUGCCGCCCAUUGAGUCUGUGCCCGUGCCGUCGGUGAUGUGGCAGUCGGAGGACGGACCGCUGAACUAUGACAUCAAGUACGCCUUCACCCAGGCCAACCAGCUGAUUAUCUUGAGUGCGGAUGAGAACGAUCGCAGGGGAUACCGGGCCAAGGCCAUCAACACGCAGCUGGGCAAGGAGGAGAGCAGCGCCUUCGUUCACCUGAACGUCAGCGGGGAUCCGUACAUAGAGGUGGCGCCCGAGAUCAUAGUUCCUCCGCAGGAUGUCAAGGUUAAGUUGGGCACCGGCGUGGUGGAGCUGCAGUGCAUCGCGAAUGCCCGACCCCUGCACGAACUGGAGACCCUUUGGCUGAAGGACGGCCUCGCCGUGGAAACGGCCGGAGUGCGGCACACCCUCAACGAUCCGUGGAACCGCACCCUGGCCCUGCUGCAGGUGAACAGCUCGCACUCCGGCGAGUACAGCUGCCAGGUGCGACUGCGCAGUGGUGGCUAUCCGGCCGUCAGUGCCUCGGCCCGCCUCCAAAUCCUCGAGCCACCGCUCUUCUUCACGCCCAUGCGAGCGGAAACCUUUGGCGAAUUCGGCGGACAGGUGCAGCUCGCCUGCGACGUGGUCGGUGAGCCCACGCCCCAGGUCAAGUGGUUCCGGAAUGCAGAGUCGGUGGAUGCGCACAUCGAGAGUGGAAGAUACUCGUUGAGCACGGAUAAUACGCUGGUAAUUAAGAAACUAAUCCUGGAUGAUGCUGCCAUGUUUCAGUGCCUGGCCAUCAACGAGGCGGGCGAGAAUUCGGCGAGCACCUGGCUGCGCGUAAAAACUUCGGCUCCAAUCAUGGAGCUGCCGCCCCAGAAUGUGACCGCCCUGGAUGGCAAGGACGCCACUAUCUCCUGCCGGGCUGUGGGUUCGCCCAAUCCCAACAUAACCUGGAUAUACAACGAGACCCAACUGGUGGACAUAUCCAGCCGGGUGCAGAUACUCGAGUCGGGCGACCUGCUCAUCUCGAACAUCCGAUCCGUGGACGCCGGUCUCUAUAUCUGCGUGCGGGCCAACGAGGCGGGCAGCGUCAAGGGCGAGGCCUAUCUGAGUGUUUUGGUGCGGACGCAAAUCAUCCAGCCGCCCGUGGACACAACGGUGCUACUCGGCUUAACGGCCACCCUGCAGUGCAAGGUGUCCAGUGAUCCCAGCGUGCCGUACAACAUCGACUGGUAUCGCGAGGGUCAGUCGUCGACGCCCAUCAGUAAUUCGCAGCGCAUCGGUGUCCAGGCGGACGGGCAACUGGAGAUCCAGGCGGUGCGGGCCAGCGAUGUGGGCAGUUAUGCCUGCGUGGUCACCUCUCCCGGGGGAAACGAGACGCGGGCCGCGCGCCUCAGCGUCAUCGAACUGCCAUUCCCGCCCAGCAAUGUGAAGGUGGAACGGCUGCCGGAGCCGCAGCAGCGCAGCAUCAACGUGUCCUGGACUCCGGGCUUCGAUGGCAACAGUCUAAUAUCCAAAUUUAUUAUCCAGCGACGUGAGGUCUCCGAAUUGGAAAAAUUCGUAGGUCCAGUUCCAGACCCCCUGCUCAACUGGAUCACCGAGCUGAGCAACGUCUCGGCGGACCAGCGUUGGAUCCUGCUCGAGAACCUGAAGGCGGCCACCGUCUACCAGUUCCGGGUCAGUGCUGUGAAUCGGGUGGGCGAGGGCUCGCCAUCGGAGCCCAGCAAUGUCGUCGAGCUGCCCCAGGAAGCUCCCUCCGGUCCACCGGUGGGCUUCGUGGGAUCCGCCCGCUCCAUGUCGGAGAUCAUCACGCAGUGGCAGCCGCCGCUGGAGGAGCAUCGCAACGGCCAGAUCCUGGGCUACAUCCUGCGGUACCGCCUGUUCGGUUACAACAAUGUGCCUUGGUCCUACCAGAACAUCACCAACGAGGCGCAGCGCAACUUCCUCAUCCAAGAGCUGAUCACCUGGAAGGAUUACAUUGUGCAGAUCGCGGCGUACAACAAUAUGGGCGUGGGCGUCUACACCGAGGGUUCCAAGAUCAAGACCAAGGAAGGAGUUCCGGAGGCGCCCCCCACCAAUGUGAAGGUGGAAGCCAUCAACUCGACGGCAGCCAGAUGCCGCUGGACUCCGCCCAAUCCGCAGCAGAUCAACGGCAUCAACCAGGGCUACAAGAUUCAGGCAUGGCAGCGUCGGCUGAUCGACGGCGAGUGGCGGGACUUUGAGCGCCGCAUGAAGACGGUGCCGCCCAGUCUGAUUGAUCCACUGGCGGAGCAGACGGCCGUCCUCGGAGGCCUGGAGAAGUUUACCGAGUACAACAUCAGUGUGCUCUGCUUCACGGACCCCGGCGACGGGGUGGCCAGUAUUCAGGUGGCAGUGAUGACCAUGGACGACGUGCCCGACGAGGUGACCGGCUUGCAUUUCGAUGACGUCUCCGAUCGGUCGGUGAAGGUGCUCUGGGCGCCACCGCGCUCCUCGAACGGCAUUCUCACGGGCUAUACGGUUCGCUACCAAGUCAAGGAUCGCCCGGACAGCCUGAAAUCAUUUAAUUUGACUGCGGAUGACACGGAGUUGACGGUCAACCAAUUGCAGGCCACCACGCACUACUGGUUCGAGAUCUUCGCGUGGACGCGUGUGGGCAGUGGAACUCCGAAAACGGCCACCAUUCAGUCCGGCGUGGAGCCAGUUCUGCCACAUGCACCCACUGCUCUGGCCCUAUCCAACAUCGAAGCCUUCUCCGUGGUCCUCCAGUUCACUCCGGGCUUCGAUGGCAACUCCAGCAUCACCAAGUGGAAGGUCGAGGGCCAAACAGCCAGAAAUAUGACCUGGUUUACCAUUUGCGAGAUCAACGAUCCCGAUGCCGAGACCUUGACCGUCACUGGCCUGGUGCCGUUCACCCAAUACAGGCUGCGAUUGAGUGCCAGCAAUGUGGUGGGCAGCUCGAAGCCCUCGGAGGCCACCAAAGACUUCCAGACGAUCCAGGCCCGGCCCAAGCAUCCGCCAUUCAACGUCACCGUGCGGGCCAUGAGUGCCCAGCAACUGAGGGUUCGCUGGAUUCCACUGCAGCAAACCGAAUGGUACGGCAACCCCAGGGGCUACAACAUCUCCUACAAGCAGUUGGUCAAAACUCCAGGCACCAUAAAGUACGUACCCCGUUCGGUGGUAAUCGAGGAUCACACCGCCAACUCCCACGUGCUGGACAGCUUGGAGGAGUGGACGCUGUACGAGGUGAAAAUGAAUGCCUGCAACGACGUGGGAUGUUCGAAGGAGAGUGACACCGCCGUGGAGCGAACUCGCGAAGCUGUCCCCAGCUACGGCCCACUGGAUGUCCAGGCCAAUGCCACAUCGUCCACCACGGUGGUUGUGCAAUGGGGCGAGGUGCCGCGUCAGCAUCGGAAUGGCCAGAUAGAUGGCUACAAGGUGUUCUACGCCGCCGCGGAUCGGGGCCAACAGGUGCUGCACAAGACGAUCCCGAACAAUGCCACAUUCACCACCACCUUGACGGAGCUGAAGAAGUACGUGGUCUACCACGUGCAGGUCCUGGCCUACACGAGAUUGGGUAAUGGUGCUCUCAGCACUCCGCCCAUCAGAGUUCAGACCUUUGAGGACACUCCUGGAGUACCGUCGAACGUUAGCUUUCCCGAUGUCUCCUUGACCAUGGCGCGCAUCAUUUGGGAUGUGCCCGUGGAUCCCAAUGGAAAGAUCCUGGCCUAUCAGGUCACGUACACCCUGAACGGCAGUGCCAUGCUGAACUACAGUCGAGAGUUUCCGCCCUCCGAUCGCACAUUCCGCGCGACGGAAUUGCUGCCCGGAAAGUACUACAGUUUCAGUUGUACGGCGCAGACGCGACUGGGCUGGGGAAAAAUAGCUACUGCCCUGGUGUACACCACCAACAACAGGGAGAGACCCCAGGCACCGUCGGUUCCGCAGAUAUCCCGCAGUCAGAUUCAGGCCCACCAAAUCACCUUUAGUUGGACACCAGGCAGAGAUGGCUUCGCGCCGCUUCGCUACUACACGGUGGAGAUGCGUGAGAACGAGGGCAGGUGGCAACCACUUCCGGAAAGGGUGGAUCCAUCGCUCAGUUCCUUCACAGCCCUUGGCCUGAGACCCUACAUGACCUACCAGUUCCGCAUACAGGCCACCAAUGAUCUGGGACCGUCCGCCUUCAGCCGGGAGAGUGUGAUCGUGAGAACUUUGCCCGCUGCUCCGGCAGUGGGAGUGGGAGGGCUCAAGGUGGUGCCCAUAACCACCACCUCGGUGAGGGUGCAGUGGAGUGCUCUGGAGACGGCCUUGUGGAACGGCGAUGCCUCAACCGGCGGCUACAGGAUUCUGUAUCAGCAACUCUCCGACUUCCCCACCGCCCUGCAGUCCACACCCAAAACGGAUGUGCACGGCAUCAAUGAGAACAGUGUGGUUCUGUCGGACCUGCAACAGGAUCGCAACUACGAAAUCGUGGUGCUCCCAUUCAAUUCCCAGGGUCCUGGGCCUGCCACGCCCCCAGCAGCGGUGUAUGUGGGCGAAGCGGUGCCCACUGGGGAACCGCGAGCCGUGGAUGCAGCGCCCAUUUCCAGCACGGAAGUGCGUUUGCUGUGGAAGCCGCCAAAGCAGAGCAUGCAGAAUGGAGACAUACUGGGCUACAAGAUCUACUACCUGGUCACCUACUCGCCGCAAGCCUUGGAACCCGGUCGCAAGUGGGAGGAGGAAAUCGAGGUAGUCUCGGCCACGGCCACUUCGCACAGCCUGGUCUUUCUCGACAAGUUCACCGAGUAUCGCAUCCAACUGCUGGCCUUCAAUCCUGCGGGAGAUGGACCGCGAUCGGCCCCAAUUACCGUGAAAACACUGCCAGGCGUACCAAGUGCUCCGCUGCACCUGAGAUUUUCGGACAUCACCAUGCAGAGUUUGGAGGUUACCUGGGAUCCGCCGAAGUUCCUGAACGGCGAGAUCUUGGGCUACUUGGUCACCUAUGAAACCACCGAGGAGAAUGAAAAGUUCAGCAAGCAAGUGAAGCAAAAGGUAUCCAACACCACACUUCGUGUUCAAAAUCUGGAGGAGGAGGUCACCUACACAUUCACUGUCCGCGCUCAAACGUCCGUGGACUACGGACCGGGCAUAAGUGAGAAUGUGACAACGGGGCCCCAAGAUGGCUCCCCAGUUGCGCCGCGAGAUCUCAUCCUGACCAAGACGCUGUCCAGCGUGGAAAUGCACUGGAUAAACGGGCCUUCGGGGCGGGGACCCAUCCUGGGCUAUCUCAUCGAGGCGAAGAAGCGAGAAAAAGGAGAGCCGUCAUUCGUUUACGACUCGCGCUGGACGAAAAUCGAGCAGACCAGGAAGGGCAUGAUGCAGGAUUUCACGGUCAGCUAUCACAUACUGAUGCCCUCCACUGCGUACACAUUCCGGGUGAUUGCCUACAAUCGCUACGGCAUUUCAUUUCCCGUGUAUUCCAAGGACUCGAUCCUGACGCCCUCCAAGCUCCACCUCGAAUAUGGUUACCUGCAGCACAAGCCCUUCUAUCGGCAAACCUGGUUUAUGGUUUCAUUGGCGGCCACUUCGAUUGUGAUCAUCGUGAUGGUUAUUGCGGUGCUGUGCGUCAAGAGCAAGAGCUACAAAUAUAAACAGGAGGCACAAAAGACGCUGGAGGAAUCCAUGGCCAUGUCCAUUGACGAGCGACAAGAGUUAGCCCUGGAGCUGUACCGCUCUCGCCACGGCGUUGGAACCGGGACCCUGAACAGCGUGGGCACUCUGCGUAGCGGCACCUUGGGCACUCUGGGCAGGAAGUCCACAAGUCGCCCGCCGCCGGGCGUCCAUCUCGGCAAGAGUCCGCCGCGCCCCUCGCCCGCCUCCGUGGCGUACCACAGCGACGAGGAGAGCUUGAAGUGCUACGAUGAGAAUCCGGACGACAGCAGCGUGACCGAGAAGCCCUCGGAGGUUAGCAGCUCGGAGGCAUCGCAGCACUCGGAGAGCGAAAACGAAAGCGUGCGCAGCGACCCCCACUCCUUUGUGAAUCACUAUGCCAACGUGAACGACUCACUGCGACAGUCGUGGAAGAAGACCAAGCCGGUGCGAAACUACUCCAGCUACACCGACUCGGAGCCGGAGGGCAGUGCAGUGAUGAGCCUCAAUGGUGGCCAGAUUAUCGUCAAUAAUAUGGCCAGGUCGAGGGCACCACUGCCCGGCUUCUCGUCAUUCGUCUGACAAUCAACGGAGUUCUAAGAUCUAAGCACCAGUAGCAACGGCACCGUCAUCCGCGAGACCUUUGUCUAGGCCUGCGAACACGAGGAGGGUCCGGAGAAGGAGCACGGAGCACGGAGCUGGGGGAAUGGCUGGCUGGCUGGCUGGGGCAACUCGAACCUUUCGGAGGACUACACCCGUGUACCCACAUAUCAGACUGAUCCAGGCCCAUCUGCCCUCCUGGUCUCAGCCCCUCCAGCUCCGCGACGAUGCGCUGCUACAGGGAUAUACAUAUUACUUAAUACCAGACAUUCAUAUUUAUUUUUGGAUGUACAGUGUGAGUGCGAUGCUGUCUGCCACGCCUCCAAAGGCGGCAUUUAUGGAAUAGGGCGCGACAAAUCGAAUCCGAAUUCUGUGAUAAAACGAUUUCCUUGUGCCCCAAUAAGUUUUUCAAACGAUUUCCAAGUGUGUUCAGUGCGUGGCAGGUAGUCUGGUCUUUUAAGUGACUGUGACUGUGAGUGUGAGUGACGUACGCGCUUCGUCUGCGCAAUCUCAUUAUAUAUAAAAUGGCAAGAAGUUAUGUUUUAUGUUUAUUUUUUUUUUAUGUGCGAAUAAAGCUAGAAAAUCUACAAGUACGACAAGUAUGAAGACAAGGACAAAGCACCGAUGCAAUCGGUGGCUUAAGAAACGAAGUUGAGAGAUGAGACACGCAGAGAAAUCGCACGCAGUAAACAAAAAUCGUUGUCUUAUAAGAAGGAUAGGUGUAUUUUUUUGGAAGGGCAUCAGAGAAGGGCUAUAGCUAUCAGAAUGAGAAUGAGAAGGAUAUCUAAGAAGGUGGCUUAGGAUAUAUCGAUAGGCCAUAUUAUUGCAAUUUCCCUACCACAUAAGUCCACAAACGCAAGCAACAGUAACACAAAGCAAGCAAGCAAACAAACAAACAAACAAACAAACAAACAAAAUGCAAGCAUUCAAGGCUGCAUGGCACACAAACACAACAAUCGAGGAAACGAAACGAUUCGUUCAGAGCGCAUGCGCAGCAGACCUAGCAUUAAGUACGAUCUUUUAGAGGUAAGAUGCAUUUUUUUUGUUAGUUGGGGCCGCGUCUCCACGGGAAGCCGACGCCCCGAUACUCUAGCUCGUAACUUUUCGAUUGUUUAAUUCCCGACGCUUAGAUGUAAUCGUACUCGUACCCGUACUCGUACUCGUAUUUGUAUUUGAAUGCGGUUUAUAUUUAUGACUAUAUUUAUAUAUCGAUGUAUACAUGUAUAUCUGAAAACUUAAACGACUGAUUAUAUAUUUUCCCCCGAUUAGUUGUACACUUAACUCCUAAACCCUUUUUUGUAAUACCUACGCAUUAACUACGCUAAGACCACUUUGGCACUUUGGCGCUUUGGCCGUUGAAAACGAAUGAAAACGGAGUGGAAAGCUGAAGGCUUUCCGAGUUUUCCCCCAAUCGCAAGCUAAUUUCCACUUCAAAGACUCGAAGCACAAGUUCAUCUAGUUAAGUAAAUGUAUUUGUAAUUGUUGAAUUGAGGAUUAAAGGAUAGUUCUCCACUUCUUGAGAGGCGCGUUUGAUGUGGAGUAGCUUUGGAUGGAAAAGCUGAAAAAGAUGGAAAAGCUGAAAAAGAUGGAAAAGCUGAAAAAGAUGGAGAAUAUGAAAAUGGUGGAGCUUAGGGAUCUUCGCUCGGGGCUAGUUGAAAUUCGUGCAGCAAGCGCAAAGUAUUAAAAUAUUGAUAAAUACAAUUUAAAUGUGUAAAUGUAAUUGAUCGAGCAUCCGAAUAUGAAUUAAUAAAAGAACAUGAAAUCAAU